CAGAAAGUGAUAGGCCAGAAGACUGCACUGAGCUCCAGUAUCAGCUUUGGCAUGGUUUCUACAGCUGAAUGCCCUUCCUAACUCCAACCACUUUACA